rnacentral:rRNA from 1 species
UGGGGAAUAUUGGACAAUGGGCGCAAGCCUGAUCCAGCCAUGCCGCGUGUGUGAAGAAGGCCUUCGGGCUGUAAAGCACUCUCAGCGAGGAGGAAGGGUGGUGUGUUAAUAGCACAUCAUUUUGACGUUACUCGCAGAAGAAGCACCGGCUAACUCUGUGCCAGCAGCCGCGGUAAUACAGAGGGUGCAAGCGUUAAUCGGAAUUACUGGGCGUAAAGCGCACGUAGGCGGUUUUUUAAGUCAGAUGUGAAAGCCCCGGGCUCAACCUGGGAAUUGCAUUUGAAACUGGGAAACUAGAGUGUGUGAGAGGGGGGUAGAAUUCCAAGUGUAGCGGUGAAAUGCGUAGAGAUUUGGAGGAAUACCAGUGGCGAAGGCGGCCCCCAUGGCACAACACUGACGCUCAGGUGCGAAAGCGUGGGGAGCAAACAGGAUUAGAUACCCUGGUAGUCCACGCCGUAAACGAUGUCUACUAGCUGUUCGUGACCUUGUGUUGUGAGUAGCGCAGCUAACGCACUAAGUAGACCGCCUGGGGAGUACGGUCGCAAGAUUAAAACUCAAAAGGAAUUGACGGGGUCAUAGCUGUUUCCUG